GGGGGAAGUGGGCGUGGGGUGGGGUGGGUGCAGGACCCUAUGCGGGUGGUGGUUGCUGUUCUCUGUGUUCGCUGCAUGGAGCACGGUGGAGGGCUGACACCUCACUGCUGCUCAGAGCUGAUUCUGCAGUUCUGUCCCGAAAGCUGUUUGUUCCCUAAGCUCUACUCAGUGCUGUGAGAACUCACCUGGAGUGCUGUGUCCAGAUGUGGAGUCCUUGGCACAGGAGAGACAUGGACCUGUUGGAGUCCCUCCAGAGGAGGGCCACAAAAGUGCUCCAAGGGAUGGAACACCUCCCUGCGAGGACAGGCUGAGAGCUGGGGCUGUGCAGCCUGCGGAGAAGAAGGCUGCGGGGAGAGCUGAGAGCGGCCCUUCAGUAUCUAAAGGGGGUCUAUAAGAAAGAAGUGACGGACCCUUUAGGGUCUGUGUGAUAGGACAAAGGGAAAUGAUUUCAAACUAAAAGACAGGAGGUUUAUCUUGGAUAUAAGGAAGAAGCUGUUUACACUAAGGGUGGUGAGGCACUGGCACAGGGUGCCCAGAUAAGUGGUGGAUGCCCCAUCCCUGCAGACACCCAAGGUCAGGGCACGGGGCUGUGAGCACUGAUGGAGCUGUGGGUGGCCCUGUGCACUGCAGGCAGUGGGACCUCGUGGGCCUUUGGGGGUCCCUUCACCCUCAAGCGAUUCUGUGGUUCUGUUGUCUGGUUGGAACCACUCACCUGUUACUAGGUGGGACCCAUCUAGAAAGGAUGGAUUUGAGCUGCAUGCUCAUUCAGUUCAUUUAAGUGUGUUAAAGUUAAUAGUGCAUGCCUGGUCCCCAUUAAUAUCUUAAAAUACUCUGCUCUAACAGUAAUUCAUCAUCCAUUCUCCUACAGCCUUACUGUGAAGGGGCUGUGUGUGCAGACUCUGGCAGAACAAGUGCCGGGGCGAGGGGAGGGAGGGGAGGAAUGCUCACAGUGUGCCGAGCCCAUGGGGCCCGUAAGGGACAGCAUGACACAGCCUGUGUGCUCCUGGAGGUAGGGAUGUGUUCUUUGCUUCGUGGAGACAAAAACAGGGGUUUAAAUUGUUAGGGAGGGUUAGAACAAACUGCAGGGUGUGAAGCAUUUCCUGCUGGUGUAGUGGAAGCUGAUGCGUGUGCAGUGGUUGACCUGAAACAAAGGCCCAUGCUGCAGGCAGGUACUGCUGCACUCAGCCAAGGGGAGAAGUGUAACUCUAGGAGGUGUGACUGCUGCGACAGGGCUCCAUAGCAUACUAUUUCCAUUCAGUGUGGCAGGGCAGAGGAGGAGGAGCUGAUGCAGCUUUGGCAUGUGAUUCAGUACUGGAGGCUUAUGGAGAAACAACACAGAGAUUUUCUGACACCAGUGCAGAAAUUUUGCUGCAGGGAGAGGUACCAAGGUGUGGGGGAAGCAAGGUUGUUUCUCUAUUGUAAUUAGGUGUGGGGAAUGGAGGCUCAGUGGCUCUUCUCACAUCUCAGGAUGGCUGCUUCUUGGCGCUAGGUUCUUCUUGGUGAUUUGACCCCAUAUGGCAAUGUAAGAAAACUUUGCUUGAAUGUGAAUGACUCUUUUGGAGUCCGUCUUGAUCUUGUGUUCUGUUGUACACGUGAAUCCUUAUUUCUGUCUCUCGUGCGCACAGGAAUCCUCCACCUCCUUCCCUUUUUCCCAAAGGUGUGAAGAAUAGGAAGUAUUCGGACGAAGUACACCAGCAGCUGAGCAGCUUUGCUGCAGAGGUGACAACAAAACCAAGCAAGAAACAAUGGGUGGGGACGUGCUCCUUCCAGUCAGGUGCCUUUGUCACAGAGAAAGUGUUCUGUGAUCGGUGAUCUACAACUGAUCUCAUUACAGAUCUGUUCUCAGAAGCCCUCGUGGGGCUGGGAUUCCCCACAUUUGAUCUUUCCCUGAAAGUUUCCUUAAAAUAAAUAAAUUUAAAAAAAGAAGAAAAAUUAUGCUAAGUAAUUUUACUUGCACUGAACAAAAAGAUGAAGGGAAGGUAAGUUCUUUGUUGGGCCUUUAACAGGUCUCACUUUGUACUGAUUGAACAUGGGCAGGGAAAUAGCCUUCACUCAAAGGGCUGUAUUAUGGUGAUAAACAGUUCUGACUUGAUUGGGUUGUAGGCUGUUAGCAGUUGCAUUUUCCUCACUAGAACAUAUUUUAUACUGAUUUAUCACAUUAAACUCAGCAUUUGGGGGGAAAAAAAGACUGAUGUAAGCAUGGAUCUACCUUAUCUGGACACAGACAAACUUGUAAUGAAAGUGACUUGUGAAUUAUUUCAGUAACCCUUGUGUGCUACUGUUUUGCAAGGUAAAAGCUUCAGUCUUAGUCUGCCUCCCUGGUGCUCGGUUUUUCCCAUACCCUUCUCAAGUAAGAUGGGAUGGCCUGGAGAAGAGCUCUGCAGUGUGAAGAUGGCUUGUUUCUUUUCACAAAGCAGGAACACCUUUCUAAAUUUCAUUUAAACAACAAAUAAAAAACCUACAACAUCACUGACGACAACAAAACAGAAUUGAGAGCAUAGUGAAGUUGUGCUGUUAAGUCCUAAAAGGUCAGGAUAUGACAGUGACUUGUGCCUGAAUUUCCAACUACAUUCUUCAUUUAUGCUAUCUCAUAAUUCAGUUUAUGUAGUUUAAUACAGCAGAUGUUUUUCUGUGAAUGCGAUACAGAUGCUUACACUGCUCAGGGUUUGUGGGAACUCCUUAAUGUGGUAAGUGCAUUAGUGUUUGUGCCAUUAGCAUUAUGUUGGUGAUGUGAAGCUGUCAUUCUGUGCAAAGAGCAUGCGUUGAGGUUUCAUGCAGAAUGCUGCGUGUUUAAAUAUAGCCGUAUAAAAUAACAGUAAAUGGUUCGUUUAGCAAACAAAUUACCUUGGGGAGCAGGGUGAAAUCUGUUUUCUGCCAACUGUUUUUGAGUUUAUAAAUCAGUCUCCUUAAUGGAAUCCACACAGACUUAUUGGAGACUGAGUGAACAAAUGUCUCUGGUGGGUCUGAAAGCUCCUUUGCCUCACUGCCUUUGGAACUGAAGGGAAAGGCCUGAUUAUUCGGAUUAACUUGUUCUUCUUCCCCUGCUCCCUCCCUGCACCUGAGUUUGCAAGAGGGAUUGGCUCAGGACAUGAACCUGCAGCCAGCUCAGGUCUGUAACUGGUUUGCAAAUUAUGAGAAGGUGAACCUUCUGUAAGCAUCAGCUCUGAGCAGAUGGAGACAGCCCUCAUACCCUGUGACCCAGGGUGGGAGCAGUGAGCUACAGACCUGGAUAAGCCUCCUGAAGGAAUGCAUGUAAAGAUGCUGGAAUCCAGCUGAUGUAUGAAAAAGUCUUUGCAGUAACAGUUCAGAGAUAAGCAACACUUAAGCUUGUGCAUGGAACUGACUUGCAUUUCAGUUCCCAGGGGAUAUCACUUAGGAGCCUUGACUCCACAGAUGAGAACGGUCUGUGCCCAGCUUCAGGAAACUGGCAGGUCUAGUAGUUGAUCCCCUACCUGCUGAGGGCAGCUUUAGCUGGGGGGGUCCCCAUCUUUGGCGAAGCAGCAUGUCUGAUUGAUUUCUCUAUCACUACAGCUUUACUCAGAUCAGUGCGCUGUGUUGAAGUGAGGACAAGCCAGGCUUUGUUGACCCCUCGCAUCACCAAACAAUCUGUAGCUUUUUUCACUGAGGCUGUGAUGGAACUGAGAACCCACUUGAGCUCUGCCAUCCUGCAGCCCAGGGAAGCAGCAAGCAAUGCUGGUACCUGCCCCCAGCGGAAUAACUUUGCCCUGUGCUCUUGCAGGUCCUUUAUCUCCCCAGGUGAACAUUUAACCAUGUGGCAGGUCCCUUCUAGCACCACAGCCUCCAUGUGGAUCCCAAUAACAGAAGGUAUCACAGCUCCCUUGAGCAGAGUCCUGCAGGGGGUUUAUAUUGAGGCCAGCUCAGGAAGAAUCAUUCGGCAGUCAGAUUUAGAGGCUGAAAGCUUCGUCCUUACAGAAGGACAGCUAGGGACCAUGGAAGCUAUUCUUCCCCACAGGUAAAGGGAGUGGACAGCACAGGGCUUCUCAAAAGCAUUGUCCUGAUUUCCCUGCUGAAGAGAGUUGCAGAAAGUGUGGUAAUGCAUCUCAUUCCAGGGCCUGGCUUUCUGCUUGUCCCCAUCAGAUUUUGUGGAUAUUUUUAUCUGUGCACUGAAAAUGGGACAUACUGUGUAAGCGUAUGUGUGUUUUACAGUGUGGUUAGUACAAAGGAGAUUCAGGGCCAGCAUCAUCAGAGAAGAUGUACCCCUCUCUAAAGCAGGUUUGGCUUCUAAGCUAUUUGCCUGGUUUUCAUUUUGGCUGGAAAUCGUAACUUACACAGAUCUUAGUGAGAGCUGACCCUGCCCACUAGGUUGGUAGGGCCUGCACUUAAUCCAAAACAGUCUGUGUUUUGGGAUUGGCAGUUUUGAACUGUGGCUGAGGGUCAUGAAAGAUGAGUAAGGAACUGCUGGCAAUAUUUUGGCUAGAUUUAACAUGUUCUGACUCUAGAGUGAGCUCAUGUUUAUUUUUAAAAUACGUUCCGACACUAGAAGAAAUCCAUGGUGAAUGUCUCCUUGUUGGGUAUGUCAGCUGUGCCAGGAAUCCACACACCCUUUAUCGUGUUCCUGGCAGGGGCAUGACUUGCUGUUUCAUUGACACCUUCGGGUGAGGAUACAGCUAUCUGAACUCCUCGUAAUGCCUGUUUAGCUUGGUGGCCUGCUCCAUAUCCCUCCAAAACCUUGAACUCCCCAUAAUGCUAUUGAACAUCUUCAGAAUUGAGCGAGGCUUAGGCUGCAAUUUCAUCUAGGCCCUUCUGCAGUCCCCCGCUAGAGAGCCAGGAGACUUUGGGUGGGAAGUCUUGGGUGAGAUCUCUGCUCAGUGAUGGGCAGUGAGCAAGGAUCACCUUGGUUAUCAGGCAGAACCCUGUUAGAAGUGUGGUGUCACCCCAGUUAUCUUGAGCAAUAAUGAUGUGAUGAGCAUUCCUCAUCUGGGGACUUAGGAAGGAGUCAACAGCGUAAGCUGAGGCAGAUGAGUGUUGUUACCCUAGAAAGAUGGGGCAGAGAAACUAUCCCUGCUUUGCAGAUAGAAGAGAAGGAAGAAUUUAUUCAAGGUCACUCACAUGGAGUGGACAUCUAGUGUCACUGUUACUGCCUUGCCGGUGCCUGUCUGUCUGCUUCCUAAGUGCAGGGGUAGAGCUAGAAGUCAGCCAAGGGAACCUUAAUCUGCUCGUCUCAUUUAAAAAGUGCUCACCUGGAAAGGACUUGGCCUGAAAGCUUAUUAGACCAAUUUCAGUUUCUUUCUUUUAUGGUCUUUUUACAGUCAGUCCUACGCACUUGGGCUGCAUCCAAACCUCUUAUGCUCUACAGGGCUGUGAGGUGGGAGUGUGAGGGGGAGCUGGGCUGGGAGCUGACUGUCUCCAUCUGCUCCUGCUGCCUGACAGGAGAGUUUGAUCCAGCUACUGGACUGGAAGUCCCUGUGGGACACCCAGCAGAUGCCUGCCUUCACAGAGUGGUGUUGUAUCUUCUUCACUCUUCUGGUUGGGACAGGUGGAAUGUAGCCCAGCUAAUGGCUCAUGCAGAAUAUAGCUCUCCUGUGCCUCACAUUUCAAGCAGAAAAGCAUGCUGAACUCCGUGGAGCAAGACAAGCUGCAUUUAUGAGCCAGCAGAUUGAUUUAGAAAAUACUGGUGCCAGCAUGUUGAUUGCAGCUUACUGCUUCUUCCUGUGCUUUUGGGAUGCCAGCUCAGAGCAGUAGGAAUACUCCUGCCAUUAGGGCCUUCCCUUGGAUAGCCCUGUGCCCAUGACACUGGCAGGCAGCAAGUCUCAAAUCUGCUAAAGCAGGCUACUUUUUGGCACGUUGUAUGAUUAAACCAUAGGAUUUGCUGCUAAGAGUAUUGUGCGUGUUAAAACGUAAGCAGGCAAUAAAAAAAGGAUGAGAGGAAUUGAUGAGGGUAGGGACUGAGCCCACUUGUUAUUAGGAAAUAUAACUGUAUGAACACAGCCUCCAGAAGAGCAGUCCCAAGGCUGACUGCUGAAACCUAGGAGGGAGUUCCAAGGAAGGGCAACUUGACAAGAAACAACCUUUUUUUCUUGUUUCCUAACCUCUGUUAGCUGACACCUUUGAUCUGGGCCUGUACAGCUACUCCUGGCAGCAGUAUGGGCAGUGCUGCUGGAGUACAGAUGCUUCUGAGUUGGUGAUGGAGAGAGCAUGCCAUCAUGGAGUACCCCGCGUCUCCUACUUGGCCUGGUGCCUGCGUGCUGUGACCUUUUUCCAGACGUUGGCAGGGCCCACACAGAGGUUGGUUGGGGAAGCCAUGUCCCCAGACUUUGUCUGGCAGCCUUGAAAGGCUGUAGUAGAACUGCAGUUAAUGUUGUGGCUGUGUCAAAACCUCCUUUGUGUGUUUUGACUAUGAAGAUCUCGGUUUUCAAAAUAUGUUCUGAGAGAGACAUUUUGGUAGACAUCUCUUUGUUUAUGGAGAGUGUUCUGGGGGCAUAAGGCAAGUUGCAAAUGGAGAUGUUGGUCCUGUGUACUGCUCCUAGUUAGGCUCGUCCUCCCUGUGCAGAAUCUCGUUUUUUCUUUUUUCAGCCCUUAACAAUGUGAAUAAAUGACACAGGUUUGCAGUCAACAGAACUCUCAGCAGCCCCUUUUGUCUUGCUGCAAGACUACAGUAAAUGGCAUAAAUACAAAUGCAUUUGUAAAUCAUCACAUUUUCUUCCAGUUCCAGACAGACUGUAGUUGGCAGUCCUCAAUGCCCACCUGUUUCUGCACCCUGCAUGGAGGAAAGCCAAGCCUUGGGAUGAAGCCAGGUCCUGGAGGAUCUAGCUGGGGAUCCAUCAAGCAGUGACAUGUUCCAGGCAGCAUGGCUGCUCUCUGAAUUCUCAACAGGGGGAAGAAUGUGACCCACCUGCGGAGGUGCUCAAUGUGGUCUGCACUUCUCCGGCAAAAACCUCAUUCUUUCCUGGUUUUCUUGUUUAUAUUUUAAAUGAGUUAGAAGUUUCUCAUGGAGAUGAGGAAUGGAAAGAGUGGGGCAGAAGGAUGAGGGCCUUUUCAAAUAGUUACAAAGCUCAUUUUAGUGAGCUUUACUGAGAAUUUUGCAAAGGAUACAAGAAACUGGAGGUACGUUGUGGACUGUUAUGUUUUCACUGAAACAGUCUGAAGCUUUUCUGAAGAUGUUAAAAAUACUAAGUUACUGACUGUAGCAGCUGCAUAGUUCUACAGUACCCAUAGCACUGGUCCGGCAUGAGUCCUUUAUUACACCAUGAAAACAUGUGGAACAACUGAAAAGGAGGAAAACCUUUGUUAUGUUGCUUAACAGCUAGAUAACAGAUACCUUCAUCUCAGGUAAAAUCUCAGGAGAAUAAGGACUCAGCUACAUGCUGGUAAACACUGCUACUCCUCAUCUAUGCAUUUCUGUUGUGCUGCUGAGCAAAACUUCAGAGUGCCCCAUGCUUGGUAGUGCAGUAGGUGACACAGAUGGGAGCACUGCAGAAUUUACAGUGCUAGAGCUGCUGCUGUUCCUGUAGGACUGGGGAGGGCAUACCUGUGCAUCAGUACCUUACACCACCUGCAUCUCAGAUUCCAUUUAUCUGCCUUCCCUGGGCAGACAGUGGGAGCUGCUGAGCCCUCUUCAUCCGUUUCAGUCCCCAGGUCUGCAUGGGCUGAAACUGCACAAGCAGUUGUCACCCCUGAGGCGUUCUGCAGCAAGCACACGCCUUGCCCUGCAAAGCAGCGUGAGCUGCGCAGGCUGUUCCCUGCGCACCCCAGGGGACUGUCUGUGGGCAGGGGAGCACUGUGCUUGGCUGAAGGCUGCUCACUGCACAGGGAUAAGCAGCUCUCUGUUUAACCGUGCCUUCAGGCCGCCUGUUGGGCUCCUUCAUCUGCUCACGCUUCUGCUUUCAGGCUAAAAAGCAGGAUUAUGUACAAGCAGCCAAGCAGCUAUUCAAUGCAGGUUUAAAAUUUCUGCUGCAGUGUUUUAAGUAUUUUCUGCAAGUAUUACUGGUAUUUUUUAAGAUGGCAAAGAUUGCCCCUUCUGUGAUAUUUUGCCAAGUUACAGCCUCUGCUAUUGUAAUAAUGCUAUCAAAUAAAGGUUAUGAAUGUCUCUCCCCAGGGUUCCAUUUCAAGGUAAGGAUAUGUUAUUUGCAUGUAGCAUUUCUAACCCCGCACUUGGGUACUGCGGGGCUGUGGCCCUGGUGCACCCAGUGUUCGUUCCCCUGCAUCUCCCUUGGGACGCCAUUUUCUUGUUGGCAGUUUGGCGUUCACAGCACCGCUGGCCGGAAGGGCUGUGUAUGCCUUCACACCUUUGUCCCUUAAACAAUGGGGGCCUGGCUGAACCGGGGCUGCUGCACAGGGAAGAAAGGUGCAGCUGCUCUGUGCCUCACAGAAACCUGGGCGGGAUGCACCGUCCUCGCCCUGUGCUGCUCUGCACCUUUUUC